rnacentral:rRNA from 1 species
GUCUAUGGACAUGCCACCCUGAACGUGCCUGAUCUCGUCUGAUCUCAGAAGCUAAGCAGGGUUGGGCCUGGUUAGUACUUGAAUGGGAGACUACCUAGGAAUACCAGGUGCUGUAGGCA